GCGCAGCUUCCUCUGGCUGGUAGAGCACGAGACUCUUAAUCUCAGGGCUGCGAUUUCGAGUCUCACGUUGGGCA